CUCGAAGUAUAUUGAUGUUAAAGUAAUAGUAUUAUUAGUAGCAGUCAUCAACAAAAGACAAAAUCACAAAAUAAAAAUAAAGCAUAUUAAUAAAGUCUAAAAGAUAAUGAAGAAAUAUAAUGUUAUGAAAAUCAACCAAGAGUUCAACAAAAUAAACUAAUUAAUUUGUGAGCAAAAUUUCUUCUAUUUCUAAAGAAAUUUGAAAAUCACAACAAUGUAAAAAAUAGCACAAAAGCUCCCAGAGAUAGUAUCUUUUCGGCCAAAUCUGGAAUCCCUGUUGAAGGAGAAAAUAGAGGCAGCGUUUCUUCAGUGGCAUUCGCCGGAGCAACGCCUUAGAUCGUGAAAAUUCACCCAGAUCUAGCCAUUUUGGUACGAUAGUGGUGGUGUGGUUUGUUGGAGCUCGUUCACCAGAGCUCCGACAGUGAAGGAAAAAUGGAAGGGAAAAAAAUUUGAUAUUUCUUUGUGUGUAUAUUUUGUGUGUGUUUGGGAGAGAAAGUGGGGAGUGAUUUAUAAAUAUACGUGUGUGUAUUUUUCGGUGGGAGGAGAAAAAUAUGUGUAUGUAUUUGGGAGAGAGAGGAGAAAAAG
rnacentral:lncRNA from 1 species